rnacentral:lncRNA from 1 species
AGCAAGAGAGGUGAGGCCAACUCAAGCAGAAAGGUGACUAGAGGGGCCUUUAGGUUCCUGCUCUAGAGUUGAUCUAGGAAGUGUAUGGCCAUAAUUUAGCAGCAUAACAUUACAUUAAUCCAAGAUGAAAUACAAGAGUGGAGACACCUCUAUUUACAGGCCAAAAAUGCCUCCUUCUAACCCUAAAAACAUGAUCUCCCAC